UACAAAUAAGAAGCUGUCAAAUAUAGAAUUGUCUUUCAAUGUGAUAAAUAUUUGUAUAAACAUUUCUAUAUAUUUUUUAUCAUUAAAACAAACUUACAUAUUUGUAAUGGCUAGGUUUGGCUGCCCACCUCUGGUUGUGCGUCUGUCAUCGAUGAUCAUUUAUUUUCUUUGUGGCGUGAUGGAAAUUAUUAGUUUCAUAUGCACCUGCACGUAUAUUUCUUCGAUUUGCGUAACGGCACGUGAAAAUUCUGGGAACAUUUUGUUGUCAUUGCACUGCAUUUUUCCACAGAUAAUAUCAGACUUGAUGUUCGCUGUUGGCGGUUUCUUCUGCGCGACACACUUUUAUGCGCCAUUAGUAAGCAAAGCAAAUAUACUAUAUGUAUAAAUAAGGUUUUGCCUACAAUAUAUUUAUGGCCGUCCUUUGCGCUGUGUCAGCAACCUAUGCCAUUCUUUCAUUAACAGGCUGUGGAAAUCCUGCUCAACCCAUAGUCUUAGUUUCUAGCAUAUUCGCACUCAUUGCUGGAGGUUUGCACCUUGCGCUCCCUAUCCUUGUGGCCUUAAAUCUGGAGGAUGACGACUUUUUUCUUUCAUUCGGCAGGUUUGACGAUUGAAUCUAUUGAUAUGUCCAAGUGUACAUAUUUACGCAGAUAUGUAAUAUAUAUUUAUGUAUGUACAUAAUUGUAUGCUUGUAAAGGAUUUUUGGUGCUGCUUAUAUAAAAUAGCCCUUGAGUUUAAACGCUUAAAAUGGGCUUCCAGAA